GUGAUUUGAAAGUUUAUAUUCAAUUUAACAAAAUCUUAAUAGAUUUAUUUACUCUAUGUUUAUUUGUGUAUAUUUUAUAACUUCUAGUGCGGAGUGAAUGUUAAUGAUAAUGGUUACCACACCAGUAAUAUUGCAGCGGUCAAUGUUAACAUUUUUAUCACAUGUGACUUUGCUAUGCCAGUGUUUACCAGUAACGCAUGAUGGUGACGAUCGAGGAUGAAGGAAUCAAUAACAGUAUCAUCAAGGUUACUGCUAUACGACACAGACGUAUUGUGAGCUGUAAUGCAGGACUUACACCUGGUGUCCAUACUGUCAAAUAUGCAGAAAUAAGCAUGAAAUGGAGACAACAAUGCCAAGAUAAAUCAGUAUUGCCAGCCACAAGCACUGACACUUGAAUACCAAAAAAAUACUGGCUGAAUAACGAACAGUGCAGAUCAUGAUCAGACUGCACUGAAGGCAGAAUCAGUCGUGUCCAUGAUGAUGAGAAUCAGGAGCCUGAUGUGU